GAACGUGAAACAACAAACAUCGUCAGCAGCAGCACUCGUUUUGGGAGUUGGUGGCGGAGUUGUCGCUCUAACUGUCAUUGUUGUUGUUGGAUUGCUGUUGCUUCGUAGAAGAAAAAACAAGUUAAGGACUAAAAGCAAAUCUCCUGCAAAAGAACCCGAGAACUUAUCCGCUGUGUACGCAACGGUAAACAAAAGGAGAGCUUUCUGUGUAGAGAAUGCCAAUGACGAUACGGACGAUACGGACAAUGUUCACUCUGUAACAAUAGAAAACUCCACUUACCAAAAUCCAUCACCGAAGAGCUCUCGCAAGGAAAAUACGCCUGUUUUAAUAGACAACCUUACUAUUGAAAAUACCGUACGGUCUCGUGAAACCUUACGAAGUUUCACAAACGAAGCUUAACAUGCACAGAAAUAGAUAUAAAGGAAUCUAUCCGUAUGAUGAUACGCGUGUUGUAGUACGUGGAGGAGACACUGACUAUAUCAAUGCAAGCUAUAUAGACG